rnacentral:rRNA from 1 species
ACGGGUGAGUAACGCGUGGGGACCUGCCUUCGAGUGAGGAAUACCGGCGAGAAAUCGCCGACAAUACCGCAUACGUUUCGCAAGAAACAAAGUCGCAAGACGCUCGAAGAUGGCCCUGCGUCCGAUUAGCCAGUUGGUGGGGUAAUGGCCUACCAAAGCGACGAUCGGUAGCUGGUCUGAGAGGACGAUCAGCCACACUGGGAUUGAGAACGGCCCAGACUCCUACGGGGGGCAGCAGUGAGGAAUAUUCGUCAAUGGGGGCAACCCUGAACGAGCAACGCCGCGUGCAGGAUGACGGUUUUCGGAUCGUAAACUGCUUUUCUCUGGGACGACAAAAGGACGGUACCAGAGGAAUCAGCCCCGGCUAACUACGUGCCAGCAGCCGCGGUAAUACGUAGGGGGCGAGCGUUGUCCGGAGUUAUUGGGCGUAAAGCGCACGCAGGCGGUCAAUCAAGUCUGGAGUGACAGUUCCCGGCUCACCUGGGAAAGGUCUUUGGAAACUGGUUGACUUGAGGAACUCAGAGGAAGACGGAAUUCCAGGUGGAGCGGUGAAAUGCGUAGA